UGGAUAAUAGUUGGAUUUGUUUCUGCUGUGCCACAAUGGGAACUCCCAUCUAGUGAUUUAUUGAUGGGACUCAGGAAGAAGUUUGCUCAGAUCUAGUAUCAAAAGAGGCUGUACAGCUCCUGGAAAGGUUGUAAAAUGUUCACAAGGCAGGACAGCACAGUGGUGGGUGCACAGACUCUAGCCAGGCUGCUUAGCUUCAAAGCCUGGCUCUGCCACGUACACAUAAGGGAGCCGUGAGAGCUUGGGAAAGCCCCUUGCCGUGCAGUAAGUGCUAAAAACACUAUCUGUUGUUAUUUUACAGUGUGAAUCUUGCAAAUGGCAUUUUCCUCUUGACGUUAUGCUAGGAUCAUCAGCGCCUUGGAAGACCUUGCAGGACUUCAUGGCAUAUCUCUUCAGGGGGAUCGUAGUCUGUCUGCUGGUCAUCUCCAACUGAUGCAGGGCUUCACCAGGAGUCACCGAAGUAAAGCCUGGAGAUGUCCAGCAGGACAUCCGGAUUUGGAGUUCAGAAAGAGGUCUAGAAGAAAGGCGGGAAAAUUAAGAUCCAGAGAAAUUCAGUAAUUUGCAGCAAGGCUGCAAAGCUAGUAAUUGAUAAAGACAGAGGAAUUUGAAUCUAGGUAAUCUGACUCUAGAUUUUACAAUCUUCUUUUCUGUUUUAAUAUUUUCUGCUU